rnacentral:misc_RNA from 1 species
UAUCCGUAGGUGAACCUGCGGAGGGAUCAUUACCAGAGAUGGCGGGCCUCCGUGCCCCCGUCCCCAACCCAUUGUUGACCAAAACCUUUUUGCCUCGGGGGCAGAGCGUCCGCCGCCGCCCCCGGAGGACCACCGAACGCUGUCUCUAUACGUCGGAGUAUUGAUUAAAUGAAUGAAAACUUUCAACAACGGAUCUCUUGGUUCUG